rnacentral:misc_RNA from 1 species
AGCAGCCGCGGUAAUUCCAGCUCCAAUAGCGUAUAUUAAAGUUGUUGCAGUUAAAAGCUCGUAGUUGAAUUUCGGGAUCAAUAUGUUGGUCGUGCCUCGGUACGUACUAGCAUAUUGGUUUCUCCUUUCUGAAGAACCAUGAUGUCAUUUAUUUGGUGUCGUGGGGAAUCAGGACUGUUACUUUGAAAAAUUAGAGUGUUUAAAGCAGGCUCACGCUUGAAUACAUUAGCAUGGAAUAAUGAAAUAGGACGUUUGAUUCUAUUUUGUUGGUUUCUAGGAUCGACGUAAUGAUUAAUAGGGAUAGUUGGGGGCAUUAGUAUUCAAUUGUCAGAGGUGAAAUUCUUGGAUUUAUUGAAGACUAACUACUGCGAAAGCAUUUGCCAAGGAUGUUUUCAUUAAUCAAGAACGAAAGUUAGGGGAUCGAAGACGAUCAGAUACCGUCGUAGUCUUAACCAUAAACUAUGCCGACUAGGGGAUCGGAUGAUGUUAAUUUUUUAAUUGA